rnacentral:lncRNA from 1 species
CUAAAGUCUUAUAAAUUCGUCGGCUAAAACUUUGAAAUUCGUCGGCUAAAGUCUUAAAUUUCGUCGGCUAAAACUUUGAAAUUCGUCGGCUAAACCUUUGAAAUUCGUCGGCUAAAAGUAUUUGUAUACAUUUGGCAUGUUGUGAUUGUGAUGAUCAAACUUGAGAAACAGAAAUCCGACCGUCAGAUCUGACCAUCAUGAUAAAAUACAUGUGUGGGAAAAAAUUCAACUUGAUCCGAAAAGAAUAAGGGCUCGAUCCGGACGGUCAAUCUCGUAAGUCAAACCCCUAAACGCACGGAAAAGGUCGUUCGACCGUCUAAAUUACGUAUUUUGGCCGGACCUCCAACUGAAAAUAGUUUUAAACCGAUGACACGCAACAAGUCGUAUAAAAAUUUUACGCAAAAUAACCACCGAAUAUAGGGCUACUCAUAGGGGGAAAAAAUGAAAAAUUGCAUUGACCGCAACUAUCGACACCGAAUAUUUACCGGAAUAGUGUGAUUUUUCAACCGUGGAUGUAUUUCAACAUUCUCGUCAUAUCUUAUUUCAUGACUUUUUGCCGUUUGAAGGUUUUACGUAUAGUUUGUUUUUGAAACGGAACAUUUACAUAACACUAGGUAAACAAGUUAUACAACAUUAGUAUGCCUGUUGUGAUUGUGAUGAUCAAACUUGAGAAACAGUCAUCCGACCGUCAGAUCUGACCAUCAUGAUAAAAUACAUCUAUGGGAAAAAAUUCAACUUGAUCCGAAAAGAAUAAGGGCUCGAUCCGGACGGUCAAUCUCGUAAGUCAAACCCCUAAACGCACGGAAAAGGUCGUUCGACCGUCUAAAUUACGUAUUUUGGCCGGACCUCCAACUGAAAAUAGUUUUAAACCGAUGACACGCAACAAGUCGUAUAAAAAUUUUACGCAAAAUAACCACCGAAUAUAGGGCUACUCAUAGAUGGAAAAAAUGAAAAAUUGCAUUGACCGCAACUAUCGGCACCGAAUAUUUACCGGAAUAGUGUGANNNNN